UCGUAGCUUCGCAUGUGUAUGGGGGUGUAAAUGCUGGUCCAGCUGGAGGGUCAGGGAGAGGACGGCCUGAGACGUGACAGAGUCAGAGGCAGCUCAGACGAUGGCGGAACUAGGCAGAGGCAAGAGGCGCUGCUGCUGCGAUCGCGCUUCCUCUAGGAAGCCAAAUCUCGCGGGAUUUAGGGAGAUAUACAGAGCCUGGUCCCGGAGACCUGCAGUGAGGAACGCGUCGGUGCCACGGGUGCAGGAGGCUCUUCCUCCCAGACUCGUCCGUAAGGAGUCUGGUUCGCGCCACCUGUCAAGCAAACCCCAAUUCUCGUCAAAGUCUCACCCCUCUCCUCUGAGUCACAGUGAGGCGCCUUUCCCAGGGGCCUGCAGCAAGGUAUGGAGGACCAGGUUCCGGCCCAGAGGCUGUGCAGGGGCGGGGCCACCGAGGCCAGAACAGGUGAUAUCCGUGUAGAUGUGCAGCAGACCUAGAGUGCAACCAGUAAAGCUUGGAGCAACUGGACAGAGCUCUGGAAGGCAAAGAGUGAUAAAUGGCAUGUUGGAAAGGAUUUACUGCAAAGACCCACAUUUCCCAGUGCGACUUAGAGAGAUAUCCCCUGUUCCCAAAGCAGAGGACCUUUCUGUGUUUUGGAAUCGCUAGGCUGCUGAAGGAGAAUCUACUGAAUGACACAAUGAUAUCCUUUUGUCUACUUCAUCGGCUCAUCGGACAACACAGUUUUAUUGAGAAAUCUCCUGUGUCAACUCUCUUCUGAACAUUUUGAAGACGACAUUUCUUUUUUAGGAUGCUGCUUAUUGCUUAUCAUUGCUACAUUUUAAAAAGUCCUAUUUUUUAAUCUCUUUCAGUGUUCCAGUUCAGGGUACAUUCUAUAUACCUUCAGUGUAUAC
rnacentral:lncRNA from 1 species